rnacentral:rRNA from 1 species
UACGGGGGGGGCAAGCGUUGUUCGGAAUUACUGGGCGUAAAGGGCUCGUAGGCGGCCAACUAAGUCAUACGUGAAAUCCCUCGGCUUAACCGAGGAAGUGCGCCCAAAACUACAAGGCUUGAGUACCGGAGAGGGUGGUGGAAUUCCCGGUGUAGAGGUGAAAUUCGUAGAUAUCGGGAGGAACACCAGUGGCGAAGGCGACCACCUGGACGGAUACUGACGCUGAGACGCGAAAGCGUGGGGAGCAAACAGG